UGCCAGCAGCCGCGGUAACACGGGGGGCGCAAGCGUUGUCCGGAUUUACUGGGUUUAAAGGGUACGUAGGCGGACUUUUAAGUCCGUGGUGAAAGCCUGCAGCUUAACUGUAGAAUUGCCAUGGAUACUGAAAAUCUUGAGUUCAGUUGAGGUAAGCGGAAUUUAUGAUGUAGCGGUGAAAUGCAUAGAUAUCAUAAAGAACACCUAUUGCGAAGGCAGCUUACUGGACUUGAACUGACGCUAAGGUACGAAAGCGUGGGGAGCGAACAGGAUUAGAUA
rnacentral:rRNA from 1 species